UCGAGAAUCUUCGGCAAUGGGCGCAAGCCUGACCGAGCGACGCCGCGUGGAGGACGAAGGCCUUCGGGUUGUAAACUCCUGUCGAGGGGGAAGAAGGGGUAACACCUUGACUGAUCCCUGGAGGAAGCACGGGCUAAGUUCGUGCCAGCAGCCGCGGUAAGACGAACCGUGCGAACGUUAUUCGGAAUCACUGGGCUUAAAGCGCGUGUAGGCGGGUCGGCACGUCGGUCGCUGAAAUCCCCCGGCUCAACCGGGGAAGGGGCGCCGAUACGGCCGGCCUGGAGGGACGUAGGGGGGGCUGGAACUUCCGGUGGAGCGGUGAAAUGCGUUGAGAUCGGAAGGAACGCCCGUGGCGAAAGCGAGCCCCUGGACGUCUACUGACGCUGAGACGCGAAAGCCAGGGGAGCGAACGG
rnacentral:rRNA from 1 species